UAACAAGGAUUCCCCUAGUAACGGCGAGUGAACCGGGAAAAGCUCAAAUUUGAAAUCUGGCGUCCUCAGGGCGUCCGAGUUGUAAUCUAUAGAGGCGUUUUCCGUGCCGGACCGUGUCCAAGUCCCUUGGAACAGGGUAUCAAAGAGGGUGACAAUCCCGUACUUGACACGACUACCGGUGCUCUGUGAUACGUCUUCUACGAGUCGAGUUGUUUGGGAAUGCAGCUCAAAAUGGGUGGUGAGUUCCAUCUAAAGCUAAAUAUUGGCGAGAGACCGAUAGCGAACAAGUACCGUGAGGGAAAGAUGAAAAGCACUUUGGAAAGAGAGUUAAACAGUACGUGAAAUUGUUGAAAGGGAAACGAUUGAAGUCAGUCGUGACCGAGAGGCUCAGCCGGCUCUGCCGGUGUAUUCCCCUCGGUCGGGUCAACAUCAGUUUUGUCCGGUGGAUAAGGGCGGUAGGAAGGUGGCACCCACGGGUGUGUUAUAGCCUGCCGUCGCAUACACUGGGUGAGACUGAGGAAUGCAGCUCGCCUUUAUGGCCGGGGUUCGCCCACGUCCGAGCUUAGGAUGUUGACAUAAUG
rnacentral:rRNA from 1 species